CCUACGGGUGGCAGCAGUGGGGAAUAUUGCACAAUGGGGGAAACCCUGAUGCAGCGACGCCGCGUGAGUGAAGAAGUAUUUCGGUACGUAAAGCUCUAUCAGCAGGGAAGAAAAUGACGAUACCUGACUAAGAAGCCCCGGCUAACUACGUGCCAGCAGCCGCGGUAAUACGUAGGGGGCAAGCGUGAUCCGGAUUUACUGGUUGUAACGGGGCUCAGACUGCAAUGCAAGCCAGAAGUGAAAGCCCGGGGCGCAACCCCGGGACUGCACUUGGAACUGCAUGGCUGGAGUAUAGUAGGGGCAGGCGGAAUUCCAGGUGUAGCGGUGAAAUGCGUAGAGAUUAGGAGGAACACCGGUGGCGAAGGCGGCCUGCUGGACUGUGACUGACGCUGAGGCCCGAAGGCGUGGGGAGCAAACAGGAUUAGAUACCCUGGUAGUC
rnacentral:rRNA from 1 species